rnacentral:rRNA from 1 species
UACGUAGGGUGCGAGCGUUAAUCGGAAUUACUGGGCGUAAAGCGUGCGCAGGCGGUUCGUCGUGUCCGAUGUGAAAGCCCCGGGCUCAACCUGGGAAUGGCAUUGGAAACUGGCGGGCUUGAGUGUGGCAGAGGGGGGUGGAAUUCCACGUGUAGCGGUGAGAUGCGUAGAGAUGUGGAGGAACACCAAUGGCGAAGGCAGCCUUCUGGGCCAACACUGACGCUCAUGCACGAAAGCGUGGGGAGCAAACAGG